rnacentral:rRNA from 1 species
UACGGGGGGGGCAAGCGUUGUUCGGAAUUACUGGGCGUAAAGGGCUCGUAGGCGGCCAACUAAGUCAUACGUGAAAUCCCUCGGCUUAACCGGGGAACUGCGUCUGAUACUGGAUGGCUUGAGAUUGGGAGAGGGAUGCGGAAUUCCAGGUGUAGCGGUGAAAUGCGUAGAUAUCUGGAGGAACACCGGUGGCGAAGGCAAUCCCCUGGGCCUGCACUGACGCUCAUGCACGAAAGCGUGGGGAGCAAACAGG